CAAUGGAGAGUUUGAUCCUGGCUCAGGACGAACGCUGGCGGCGUGCUUGAUACAUGCAAGUCAAGGAGAAC
rnacentral:rRNA from 1 species